rnacentral:rRNA from 1 species
GAUGAACGCUGGCGGCGUGCCUAAUACAUGCAAGUCGAGCGAACAGACGAGGAGAUUGCUCCUCUGACGUUAGCGGCGGACGGAGGGGUAAAACAUGAUUAACCUCCUAAUCAGAAUGGAUAACGUUCGGCAAUCGGUCACUACACCGGCUUAAAAGAUUAAACGUCUUGCUUCACCGGGGAAAUAAGCUCUCACUCUAUCUUUUAACAGGAACUCAUCACAGUAGCUAGAUGGGUAGGCAAAGGGCUAUCAACGCAACGAUGCGUAGCCGACCUGCGAGGGUGAUCGGCCACACUGGAACUGAGACACGGUCCAGACUCCUACGGGAGGCAGCAGUAGGGAAUCUUCCGCAAUGGGCGAAAGCCUGACGGAGCAACGCCGCGGGAUUGAAGAAGGGCUUCGGAUCGUAAAACUCUGUUAUUAGGGAAGAACAAAUGUGUAAGUAACUAUGCACGUCUUGACGGUACCUAAUCAGAAAGCCACGGCUAACUACGUG